UACGUAGGGGCUAGCGUUGUCCGGAAUCAUUGGGCGUAAAGCGCGCGUAGGCGGUCAGGAAAGUCCGGUGUGAAAGUCAUAGGCUCAACCUAUGGAUGCCGCUGGAAACUGCCUGACUUGAGUCCGGGAGAGGUGAGUGGAACUGCGAGUGUAGAGGUGAAAUUCGUAGAUAUUCGCAAGAACACCAGUGGCGAAGGCGGCUCACUGGCCCGGUACUGACGCUGAGGUGCGAAAGCGUGGGGAGCAAACAGG
rnacentral:rRNA from 1 species